AACGAACGCUGGCGGCAUGCCUAACACAUGCAAGUCGAACGAGACCUUCGGGUCUUGUGGCGCACGUGGGCGUAACGCGUGGGGACCUGCCCUUGGGUUCGCAAUACCUCCCCGAAAGGGGUGCUAAUACCGGAGAAUGUCUUCGGACCAAAGAUUUGUCGCGUUUGGGUGGGCCCGCGUUGGAUUAGCGAGGUGGUAGGGUAAAAGCAUAUCAAGGGGUCGAUCGAUAGCUGGUCUGAGAGGAUGCUCCGCCACACUGGGGCUCAGACACGGACCAGAAUCUUACGGGACGGAGGAGAGGGUAAUAUAGGACAAUGGGCGAAGUCGUGAUACAGCUAUGCCGCGUAAGUGAUGAAGGCCGUAGGGAAGUAAAGCUCUUUUACCCGGGACGAUAAUGACAGUACCGGGAGAAUAAGCACCGGCUAACUCCGUG
rnacentral:rRNA from 1 species